AACAGGAAAGGAUAUUUCUCCUUCAAUGUGCAGGCAAUCACAGGACCUGAACUCCAAUUUUUUGAUUUAGUUGCAAGCUGGCCGGGCUCUGCACAUGACAGCAGGAUUUUUGACAACAGCAAUGCGAGAGUACGUUAUGAGGAAGGGGAUGUACCUGGCGUACUCCUCGGCGACAUGGGGUAUGCUUGCCGGCCAUACCUUAUGACGCCGCUAAAAGAUCCUGGAGGCAAAGACAGCCCGGAGUACAGGUAUAACAAAUCCCAAAUCCGGACCAGGAACAGCGUCGAAAGGGCUUUCGGCAUCUGGAAAAGAAGAUUUCCAUGUCUUGAUAUGAAGCUACAAAUAGAAACAACAACUUCUGUCGUUGUCAUCACGGCAUGUGCAGCUCUGCACAACUUUGGCCGGAACCGUCCAAGUGAUGAACUGCCUCCAGACACAUGCAAUGUUCAGCAGCCUUCCCCAGCUUCACAAGCUCAAGGACCACAGCCCGUUGACUCGGCGAGCGGCUUCAGAACACGAGCACGCAUUAUUCAGCAAUAUUUUUCCUAAAAUGUGGUAGAGCAAAACAGGGCAUGCAUAUUGAAAAUAAAGAAAUUGUACCAUUUUACUUACUGGCUUU